GACGAACGCUGGCGGCGUGCUUAACACAUGCAAGUCGAACGAAAAGACGGAAAGAGCUUGCUCUUUUCAGAAUUGAGUGGCAAACGGGUGAGUAACACGUAAACAACCUGCCUUCAGGAUGGGGACAACAGACGGAAACGACUGCUAAUACCGAAUAAGUUCCAAGAGCCGCAUGGCCCAUGGAAGAAAAGGUGGCCUCUACCUGUAAGCUAUCGCCUGAAGAGGGGUUCGCGUCUGAUUAGCUGGUUGGAGGGGUAACGGCCCACCAAGGCGACGAUCAGUAGCCGGUCUGAGAGGAUGAACGGCCACACUGGAACUGAGACACGGUCCAGACUCCUACGGGAGGCAGCAGUGGGGAAUCUUCCGCAAUGGGCGAAAGCCUGACGGAGCAACGCCGCGUGAGUGAUGACGGCCUUCGGGUUGUAAAACUCUGUGAUCCGGGACGAAAAGGCAGAGUGCGAAGAACAAACUGCAUUGACGGUACCGGAAAAGC
rnacentral:rRNA from 1 species